rnacentral:misc_RNA from 1 species
CGAGCGCAUGAGUUGUGUUGGACCUGUGACUACCGGGAGGACCCCCGCUGUUGUGCGGCCGACUGCCGGUGCCAGUGUCCCUUCAAUCGUUGGCUAUUGUGUGCCUAUUGUUUUGGCGAGUGCUUGCGUGCUGCUACCAGUUACACUGGAAGUUGCAUUGCUAAAUGUUGUUUUGUCGUGCACGCCCUUAGGGCAUGACACGUCAACUACGAAGUGCUCAUGGCGUUGCCUCAUGUAGCUGCCUGCAUAGGCUAGCUUCAUCAAGGCCACCUCAUGGACGCUAUUGGUCUCGGAUGUGGCCCGCUAUAAAGGCUGAAGGCGCUUUGGCACCUCAUGCCUACAAAAUACUGUCCGUUCGGAAACAACGACAGCUGGCCUGGUUCAUGCCUCGUGCAGAGGCCAGUGCU